rnacentral:misc_RNA from 1 species
GUGAAUCAUCAAAUCUUUGAGCGCAAAUUGCACUCUCUGGUAUUCCGGGGAGUAUGCCUGUUUGAGGGUCGUUAGAAUAAAAAAUCGAGGCGCCGCAGUUUUUUUUAAGGGUGAUCGGGUGGGAAUUGCGCCGUCUUUCAAAUGUUAUUUUAUGUAAAAGUGGCUGAAAAUUCUUACAUCCGGUACGAUUAAAG